GACGAACGCUGGCGGCGUGCCUAAUACAUGCAAGUAGAACGCUGAAGGAGGAGCUUGCUCUUCUGGAUGAGUUGCGAACGGGUGAGUAACGCGUAGGUAACCUGCCUGGUAGCGGGGGAUAACUAUUGGAAACGAUAGCUAAUACCGCAUAACAGUAGAUGUUGCAUGACAUUUGCUUAAAAGGUGCAAUUGCAUCACUACCAGAUGGACCUGCGUUGUAUUAGCUAGUUGGUGGGGUAACGGCUCACCAAGGCGACGAUACAUAGCCGACCUGAGAGGGUGAUCGGCCACACUGGGACUGAGACACGGCCCAGACUCCUACGGGAGGGAGCAGUAGGGAAUCUUCGGCAAUGGACGGAAGUCUGACCGAGCAACGCCGCGUGAGUGAAGAAGGUUUUCGGAUCGUAAAGCUCUGUUGUAAGAGAAGAACGAGUGUGAGAGUGGAAAGUUCACACUGUGACGGUAUCUGACCAGAAAGGGACGGCUAACUACGUG
rnacentral:rRNA from 1 species